rnacentral:rRNA from 1 species
CCUACGGGCGGCAGCAGUGGGGAAUAUUGGACAAUGGGGGGAACCCUGAUCCAGCCAUGCCGCGUGUGAAGAAGGCCCUCGGGUUGUAAAGCACUUUCAGUGAGGAAGAACGCCUGGUGGUUAAUACCCAUCAGGAAAGACAUCACUCACAGAAGAAGCACCGGCUAACUCCGUGCCAGCAGCCGCGGUAAUACGGAGGGUGCGAGCGUUAAUCGGAAUUACUGGGCGUAAAGCGCGCGUAGGUGGCUUGAUAAGCCGGUUGUGAAAGCCCCGGGCUCAACCUGGGAACGGCAUCCGGAACUGUCAAGCUAGAGUGCAGGAGAGGAAGGUAGAAUUCCCGGUGUAGCGGUGAAAUGCGUAGAGAUCGGGAGGAAUACCAGUGGCGAAGGCGGCCUUCUGGACUGACACUGACACUGAGGUGCGAAAGCGUGGGUAGCAAACAGGAUUAGAUACCCCUGUAGUC